UCCGAACAUCCGAUGUGAUAAUGUUAAAGUUUAGCACAUCGUAUCGAAAUAAAAGGUGGAGCACAGGAGUAGCUCAAGCUGCAGUCUGGGCUAGUGCUUGUCGUUGUGGAGCUGGGAGCUGCGUGCUCUGCUGCAUUUCUCUCCUCAGCAAAGCGAAGUGCAGCUUUGGGUUGUUUGGAUGUCAGUUUUGGCCAUUACUAGGGCCAGGUGACAUUGGAACCAGGGAAUGUGACCUCAGCACUGCAUGAUAGUGAUAGGACCUGUCAACAUCCUCCACUUCCACUGGAUUUCCUCUUCCUUGCAAGGAGUUUAAUGAUGAGCAUGCAUCUCUGCUAGAUUUGCAGAUAAUCGAUGUACCAUCAGCUCACUGCAAGGUAGCAGCAAACCAGCAGGGCGUGGUAUUGCAGGUAGCAGUUUCAAAGGUGAGAUUAAGAAAAAAGACGUUGUUUGAUUUCUCUCCAUUAACCACUAACCAAACUUCAGUGACUUCGCAAGCAUCUGCACAAUCCCAAAAUGCACUAGAUAAUUCAGCAGGGACGUUGGUGCAAUCUGACAGAACAACACUAGAGCACUGACCGUAACAAAGCACUAGAUUUCGCGAAAUCUUCGGUUCACUUUUGUCUUGGCUGGUUGGGAGGGGAUAACACAUGAUGCUCUAGUUUUGCAAGAUGCUUUAGAACGUGAGAAUGGCCUUCGUGUUUUACAAGGCAAAUACCACUUAGUUGAUGCUGGAUAUGGAGCCAAACCUGGAUUCAUGCCUCCUUUUCGUGCUGUCCGGUAUCAUUUGAAUGAAUGGGGAAGUAAUCUGGUGCAAAAUGAGAAGGAGCUGUUCAACCUUAGGCACUCCAGUCUUCGUAUCAUAGUAGAGCAGGCAUUUGGGUCAUUAAAGAGGAGGUUCAAAAUACUUGAUGAUGCAAAAUCAUUUUUCCCUUUCCUACUCAAGUAGAUAUUAUUGUAGCUUGUUGCAUUAUCCACAACUGGGUUGUACAAGAUGGCAGCGAUGAGCUAAUCAUACAAGAAUCAGAUUGGCCGGUUCAAAACCACUCUACACCAUCAUCUAGCCAAGCAAAUGAACAUGCUGCCAUGGUUGGUUUUAGGCAGCAAAUUGCUGAUCACAUAUGGGCAGACCGUCGGAACCACAAUGAAAACUAUAUCUUGUUUGUAUUCAUUUGUAUGGACAAUUUUCAGUUUGUAUGGACAAUAAUCAGUUUGUACCUUGUUUGGAUUUAUAUGUAUGAAACUAAUGGAUGACAGGAAAUGGAGGAUGAGGGAAAGGGGAGCAUUCUGAUGGGAAUGGCAUUACUUCCUGGGCAUCAAACAUGUCCACUUUCAUGCUUUCUUACCUGUCCAAUUUGAUAGUUAGUGGUACUGGGACAUCAGGAAAUUUCAAGAAAGUGCAUUUCAAUAUGUGUGCUCGUGCUCUGAAUGACCAAUGCAAGACCAGCCUUAGUGGAGAAUAGAUUAAAACCAUUUGAAGACAUAGCAGCGCAAGUACAAAGAUAUACUGAGGCUUCAAAAUUUGAGUGCUGCUUUGUAGGAUGAAGACAAUAGUAUAAUUUCUCUUGAUCAGGAGCACUGUAAUGGGUAUAUUAAGGAUCACAAAUCUGAUGCUACGUACUUAAACAAACCUUUGGCGCACUACAAUGAAAUGUCUAUAAUCUUCGGUAACACCAUGGCUACAAGAAAAUAUGCGAAGAGCUCAACUGAUCCUCUUGGUACUGAAGAUGGUGAAACUGAAGAGAAAGAGGACACUCCUGAUGAUGAUGAUAAUGGGGCAUCAUCAUAUGCUAGUAAGCCCAAGAGAGCCAAGACAAUUAUUGACAUUGAAGAUGACAGUACUUUGGUUGGUGUACUCAAGUAUGUUGGUGAGAAGCAGUACUUUGGUUGGUGUACUCAAGUAUGUUGGUGAGAAGCUCUCCAAUGCUAUAGAGAAGGUUGCUGCUCCUACACCCCCUCCUCCACCCCCUCCAGCAGAUGAGUUGCCUGAAGAUCUGUUUAAUGUCCUGACAAGCCUUCCAGGCUUUGAGGAGGCACACAUAUCAUACUAUUAUGCAUACCUGGUUGCUAAUCCUCACAUUGCUAAGGCCUUCUACAAGCUGCCUUUCAAUCACAAGUUGAACUGGGUUGCCUUCUUCAUCGCCGACAAGUUUCCUGGAUGUUAAAGAAUCACAAGUUGAACUUAUGGUUGCGACCUUUUUUUUGCUUGUACCACUAACAGUGCACUGUGCUUUCAAUUUGCUUUAAAUUUGUUAGCUUUGUGGGCUGUAACCCUCUUAGGGCGUCCGCAAUGGUGUUGA